GUAUUUUUGUAGAGAUGGAGUUUCACCAUGUUGGCAAGACUGGUCUCGAACUCCUGACCUCAAGUGAUCCACCCGCCUCGGCCUCCCAAAGUGCUGAGAUUACAGGCAUGGGCCCCCACUCCCAGCCAAGUAAAGUUUGAAGUGAACACUUGUAUACCCACAGCCUACAGUCCACCACCCACCUUUGUCUAUACUUGUUUUAUUCCACAUCCGUCCAUCCCUCUAUCUAUCCAGCAAUCCAUCAGCAUUCAUUUCCAAUUGCAGCUGGAAAUAAUUCCCACAAACUGUGGGACUUCAUACGACACAAAUUUCUUUCUUUUUUUUUUUAUUUUUUGAGACAGAGUCUUGCUCUGUCGCCCAGGCUGGAGUGCAGUGGCGUGAUCUCGGCUCACUGCAAGCUCUGCCUUCC
rnacentral:lncRNA from 1 species